GCAUCGCAGAUGGCCUGCUGGUGAAAGUCGUCACAGUUCUAGUGGGCGAAUACCUACGAUACUACUGAGGCCGGCUUGCUUCAGCAACAAGCUUAACGGAAGACGAUUGGUUUCUGCUUCUCCAGAGCUAACACACUGACUGCCAUAUUGUUACCUCUAAACACGUGACGGUGGAAGUAUUAAGCAACUAUCUGCACACAGAGUGACAGUACGCUGCACAAACUCACUGUUGUACAAGGACAAAGCCCAUACUGUGAAUUCAAUAAAGGUGGAAGAGGAAGGUGCAUCAGUUUUAUUCAAGCUUGAACUUUGGACUUUGUAGUGAAAUAAGAGCUGCAGGCUCUGAAAAAGUUUGCUACCAUUAGUAGCAACCUGCAGGAGAUGUAGAAAAAGUUCAGCAAGCCAUUAUCUGGAAAGUGUUACAUGUACAUACAGACACUGGA